CAACGGACAUCCAUGGACUGACGCAUAACGGACGGACGCUCCACGGACGCAGGGGAAAGUGGCGCAUGCGCAAACCAGGAACCAGACUUAGGGUGUCAUCAGAGGAGGAACAGAAAAGGCUUGAUGGCAGUGAACAUAACCAGCUCAGUGGCAGACUUCCUAGCAGGGAGAGGGGAGAAGUCGCCUGUCUGUCCGCGGAUGCCUGGACGGGAGCC